AUUGCUCAGUAACACGUGGAUAACCUACUCUUGGGACUGGGAUAACCUUGGGAAACUGAGGAUAAUACUGGAUAGGCAAUUAUUCCUGCAAUGGUUUUUUGUUUAAAUGUUUUUUCGCCUAAGGAUGGGUCUGCGGCCGAUUAGGUAGUUGGUUAGGUAAUGGCUUACCAAGCCGUUGAUCGGUACGGGUUGUGAGAGCAAGAGCCCGGAGAUGGAACCUGAGACAAGGUUCCAGGCCCUACGGGGUGCAGCAGGCGCGAAACCUCCGCAAUGUGAGAAAUCGCGACGGGGGGAUCCCAAGUGCCAUUCUUAACGGGAUGGCUUUUCAUUAGUGUAAAGAGCUUUUGGAAUAAGGGCUGGGCAAGACCGGUGCCAGCCGCCGCGGUAACACCAGCAGCUCUAGUGGUAGCAGUUUUUAUUGGGCCUAAAGCGUCCGUAGCCGGUUUAAUAAGUCUCUGGUGAAAUCCUGUAGCUUAACUGUGGGAAUUGCUGGAGAUACUAUUAGACUUGAGACCGGGAGAGGUUAGAGGUACUCCCAGGGUAGAGGUGAAAUUCUGUAAUCCUGGGAGGACCGCCUGUUGCGAAGGCGUCUAACUGGAACGGUUCUGACGGUGAGGGACGAAAGUUAGGGGCGCGAACCGGAUUAGAUACCCGGGUAGUCCUAACCGUAAACGAUGCGGACUUGGUGUUGGGGUGGCUUUGAGCUGCUCCAGUGCCGAACGGAAGCUGUUAAGUCCGCCGCCUGGGAAGUACGGUCGCAAGACUGAAACUUAAAGGAAUUGGCGGGGNNNNCNCNNNNNNNNNNNNNNAUUUAAUUGGAUUCAACGCCGGACAUCUCACCAGGGAGCGACA
rnacentral:rRNA from 1 species